rnacentral:rRNA from 1 species
AUGGCUGGGAUCGUCGGGGAUGACGAGUCGGUCGUGCCAUUGUGUGUAAGCGAGGUUGUCCACAAGGCGGUGGUGGAGAUGAACGAGGAGGGGUGCGAGGCUGCCGCCGUCACCGUGGAUGAUUACGAGUGUGUGCCACCACCUCCAACAGUGGACUUCGUCGCCGACCACCCGUUCGCCUUCUUCAUCGUUGAGGAGACUUCAGGCACUGUUGUGUUCGCUGGGCAUGUGCUUGAUCCUACCUAG